UUGGCCAGAUGGUUUCCAGGUGUUAUGAAC
rnacentral:piRNA from 1 species